GGCCAGCAGCCGCGGUAAAACGUAGGAGGCGAGCGUUAUCCGGAUUUACUGGGUGUAAAGCGCGUGCAGGCGGUCUGUUAAGUUGGCUGUGAAAGCUCCCGGCUCAACUGGGAGAGGUCGGUCAAGACUGGCAGACUGGAGAGCAGUAGAGGAAGGUGGAAUUCCGGGUGUAGUGGUGAAAUGCGUAGAUAUCCGGAGGAACACCAGUGGCGAAGGCGGCCUUCUGGACUGCAUCUGACGCUCAGACGCGAAAGCUAGGGGAGCAAACGGGAUUAGAGACCCCGGUAGUCCUAGCCGUAAACGAUGUGAACUUGGCGCCGGUUGGGUAAAACCGAUCGGUGCCGUAGCCAACGCGAUAAGUUCACCACCUGGGGACUACGGCCGCAAGGUUAAAACUUAAAGGAAUUGGCGGGGGAU
rnacentral:rRNA from 1 species